rnacentral:misc_RNA from 1 species
CUGUUGCCUUCUCGGAGUUCUCUCUUCCGCACCUCUCUGCGAGCAAAAAUAAGAGCAAUCCCUAAUUUACUAAUUUUAAAAGGAAAACCUACCAUGGACGGUGUAGCGCAACCUUCGACAUCGACGAAUGCAGCGUUCUCUUUCAUAUCUAAAGGAUGGCGGGAGGUCCGUGACUCUGCUGAUGCGGAUCUCCAACUCAUGCGGGCCCGAGCCAACUCGUUCAAGAACCUCGCCAAUUCCUUCGAUCGAGAGCUCGAGAAUUUCUUCAAUUCCGCUUCUACUUCCUUUUCAGUACACUCCUUCAGGUCUUCUACGUCGACGAAAUCGGAUUUCGUUAAGAAAUUGCAGCCUAAGAUUUCGGAGUU